AUGUUUGGACACAAAGAGCCAAAGAUCGACUAUUAUGUCUGCACCAUCAACAAGACGUUUGCCAAACCAGGCCAGGGCAUGUACUUUCAGGUGGAAUACACAGAGGGUGAGCUCCAUAAGUACAAUCAUGAAGAUGAUGACACUCUCUCACUCAAGCUCGUAGACGGCACAAUGACCUAUGACACCCGAUUCAUCCUUGGAACCGGCAAGAGGGCUACCAUCGCGACGAACUGGUCAUGGUUUCGCCACCACGCCAACAUCCACGAGGGUGAAAUAUGUGUCUUCCAUUUCAAGCGCAAAGCAGUGCGCCGCCUUUCGCGCACGGUCCAUCACGUCUACACGCAAUGA
rnacentral:rRNA from 1 species